UAGAGCCGGAUGCCUGGAGACGGGCUUGUCCGGUUCGACGGAGGCUUGUCGGAGUAAUCCCUGUCGAUGAACUCAUUUCAUCCACAGACCAAUCCCGACAUUCGAUCCGAU
rfam:Fuerstia marisgermanicae strain NH11 chromosome, complete genome.